rnacentral:SRP_RNA from 1 species
CUGCCAUCGUGAGGGAACGCUUACGAACCAGGUCAGGUGGGGAACCAAGCAGCCUUAAGUCUCCGUUCCUUGCGCGGUGGUUUAUU